GACGGCAGAGGGAGGAGAGGUCACUGUGAUUGUUCAAGUGUUUGAGUCUCUCUCAGUUUCAGUCCAGGAAGAAUCAUGAAGACAGGAGAACAACAACUGGAGAGGGCAUAUUGGGAUGGGGAGUGGAAGUGAGAAGAGGAGCUUCUAACAGAUCAAACACAAGUGUUACCUUCAGUCUCCUUACAGCAGCAGCAGCACUGAGGUUAGUUCAAUAUUUGGCUCUGUGGUCUUACAGUUCUUAAGUAGAAAAAUAUAUAACUGCUCUCAGCUUGCGUUUAGUUCACUCCUGCUGCUGCUGCUGCUGAACUAGAUUCCUGACAGAGGAAGGAGACGCUGAGUCGAUUCCUGCAGGAAACUGAAUAAACUGUAACUACAUCCUCGCCCUCAGUGUGUCGAGCUGAGAAGCAUCGCAGACAACAAGGAGGAUGGAGACGAUGAUGACUCAGAUCCCAAAACUCAAAGUCAACACAAGUUAAUUGACAGGCGGAUGUAAUAUAAUUUUGUGUGUGUGUGUGUGUCUGUGUGUGUGGAGGCGUUGUGAGACAAACUCUGCAUUUGAUUUAGCAGCAGGUACAAACGUUAUCCCCCAUUGAAACCAAUUAAAAACACUUUCAGUUAAA